rnacentral:rRNA from 1 species
UACAGAGGGUGCAAGCGUUAAUCGGAAUUACUGGGCGUAAAGCGUGCGCAGGCGGUUCGUUGUGUCGGCGGUGAAAGCCCCGGGCUUAACCUGGGAACGGCCGUUGAAACUGGCGAACUGGAGUGUGGCAGAGGGGGGUGGAAUUCCGCGUGUAGCAGUGAAAUGCGUAGAGAUGCGGAGGAACACCGAUGGCGAAGGCAGCCCCCUGGGCUAACACUGACGCUCAGGCACGAAAGCGUGGGGAGCAAACAGG